CACCACCCGGCAUGAAGCAGCCCCACCUCCCGGCAUGAAGCAGCCCCACCUCUUCGGUUCCAGGGCUGAACAAGUCAAGACAUGUUCCUGAAAGCCAGAAAGCUGGCUCCGACCCACCUCAGCCUGACGGAGCUCCGGGGUUUGCUGCUGGUCUCAGAGAAGGACAGCCAGGGAUGGAAAGACAGAAGAAGCCAUGCAGCUGGGGACCAAACCCAGGGCUACUGCCCCAUGGCCAUGUCUGCCUGCCUGCUGCCACAGUUCCCACCAUGACAGUCACGGACUCUAACCUUCUCAAGCUGACUUGCCUCAGAGAGGAAGGCAUUCAGGCUCUGGCCUGUCUGCAUUGAAGGUGCACCCAGAUGGCUGAUGGGAUGGAAAAGCCCAGAUUGCUGAACCGACUUCAGGCAGGACCAGCUGAGCUGCCCAGGCCUCUGGUCUCCAUCAGACCACAUCUCCUCUUUCUGCCUAACCUGAUUCUCUUUAUACCCAGACAGGUGUGCACACUGCAAAUGCACCCCUUCCCCUCAUAUCAACCAGUGGGGAGCUUAAGUGAUCAGUGAAUUCCAAGGGAUCCUUUCCCUAGGAUAUCUCUAUACACCAGUAAUAUGAUGAUGAUGAUGAUGAUGAUGAUGAUGAUGAUGAUGAUGAUGAUGAUGGAAAAAUUCUCUGUACUGCUUGGCUCUUUACCUAUGUGGCUUUACUUAAUGAAGACUAGAAUUUAUGCCAAAG
rnacentral:lncRNA from 1 species